UUUACCCUACUGAUGCCCGCGUC
rnacentral:siRNA from 1 species